GACGAACGCUGGCGGCGUGCUUAACACAUGCAAGUCGAACGAAGUGGCGCACGGGUGAGUAACGCGUAAUCAACCUGCCCUUCAGAGGGGGACAACAGUUGGAAACGACUGCUAAUACCGCAUACUGAAGGAGGGGUUGGCGUUGGAUUAGCUAGUUGGCGGGGUAACGGCCACCAAGGCGAUGAUCAGUAGGCGGUCUGAGAGGAUUAACGGCCACAAUUGGACUGAGGCACGGCCCAAACUCCUACGGGAGGCAGCAGUGGGGAAUCUUCCGCAAUGGACGAAAGUCUGACGGAGCAACGCCGCGGGAGGGAUGACGGCUUUCGGGUUGGAAAGCUCUGUUAAUCGGGACGCGGUACCGGAAUAGAAAGCCACGGCUAACUACGUGCCAGCAGCCGCGGUAAUUC
rnacentral:rRNA from 1 species